rnacentral:tRNA from 1 species
GGCUGGGUGGUUCAGUCGGUGGAGCAUCUGACUUGGGCUCAGGUGGAGAUUUCUGGGCUCCCUGCCCAGCUA